AACAAGGGCAUUAAGGGUGAAAACUUGUAUUUGAAAAAAAAGGUUAUCACUUAAUGACCCUAAUAAAACGGAGCACGACAAUUAUUGUUAAGAUCGUGAGGUGAUUUACAAGGACGAAGGAGCAUAAAGGACUACAGAGUCCACAUGUUUGUCGAAUUCUAAGGGAAAAAGGAAGUUCACAGUUUCCACCAAGUAAGCUCGAAAAAACCAAUAAAUGUGAAGUAUGAACCACUUCAUUUGAAUUAUGAACCAACAACAAAAGUCUUGAAAGUGAAAAAUGAUGCAUAUAUGAAAAAGAAUUCAUUAUAGGUAAGGCUAAGUGAGAAUACAUUGCUUGGUUGCCUUUGAAGAUGGAAACAAAGGAAAAAUCGCUCGACUCAUUAAUUGAUGUCCAAAGAGAAUGUAUCAAAUAUGACAAUAUCUUUGGUUCGUGGUAUGAUCAUUAUUAUUUGAAUUGUGGGAAAUUAAAUUCUCUUGAUGAUCUUGAACAAGAACCCCCACCUUGGUACUACGGUUUACCAGAUGAGGAGGAUCAUGCAUUAUUUGAGAAGGUGGAACCUAAACCAAAGCAGCCACGCAAGACGACAAUCCGUGGUCUUCACACAUGAAAUUGAUGAAAGAAAUAGGAUUGGAUCCAAAUUCUUAUGAACAAUUUAGAAGGGGAGAAAAGAUAUCAAAACAAGGCUAUGAAUUGAAGAAAUGAAGUAAAAUGCCUUUAUAUAUGGGCAUUUUGAUCUAUUGUAUUGUAACUCAACUUUUGACUUUUGGUAAAAUUUGUAAAUUUUGGUAGGAAUGUUAUGUUUUGGGGGGAAAAUCUAAUUUUGGAGUGAAAUUUAUGGUGAAAUCAGUUCAGAUUUCCCUUUGUAUAUGGACUUUCUGAUGCACUGUAGCCAUGUGCUCACCUUUUCUAUUUUCCUUUUUUCCCUCUUCAAUUAACAGUAAUGAGGCUAUCAAGUCAUAUCAAUAUAUAAUCCAGCCUCCUUCUCUUAAGAAUUGUGCCCAUAUAAAAUGUAAUAACAAUAUCAGAACAUAGGAAGUAUAUUAUUACUU